AUGCACAAUUUAUUGCAAUUAAAUUUAUUGUGUCAGAUGAGCUCUGUUUUGCAUACAUUUAUUAUUUACGCAAUUCGCAAAUAUUUUUUUAUUUACUUUAUAGUUUAAACUACGCAAUAUUGUCAAUUUGUAAAAUGCGUAUUAACUAUGUUUAUUAACUGUGAAUUAAAAAUAAUGCCUAAUUUAAGCAAUUAUCGAUUAAUUGUAAUAGAUUAUAAUUUAUAAAAUUAACAAGGUUCAUUUUCAAAUAAUUUAAUUUACAAUUUAAUUAGAAAAUAUUGCAUUUCUUACAUCCUUGCUAUAAUUAUGAAGAAUUAUAUGCUUAUUUAAUUUAUUAUUUAUAUAUUUUAUACAAUUUACAUGAAACUGAUAAAAUUGUCAGAAAUUUUUAUUACAAUUAUAAUUAUUUUUUUUCAGUUGGGAAAGUAAUGAUUUCAAUUGCUGUUUAAUUAGCCUCAAAGCUUCGUUUGGUGAUAAGCCCUAAUGAUCUACAAAUUUGUCGUUACAGUUACUAUAAAUAAUAACUACAAAAAAUAAUCAAAAAUACUGAAAUAACAAUAAAAUAAUUAUCUUUGUUUCAGUUAAAAACAAGAGAACGUAGAACAAUUUAUAGCCUCGUGGCGAUGGAAAAACAAACCUUGAGAGGAGUGAAGACACGAUGAUAUCUUAAUCCUCCUGAUGGUUGAAAUUUGCGCUGGUGUCUGGACGUUCGGCUGGCUGGAUGUGACACAGCCGAAUUUUGAAAAGCAUCAGCUAUGCCGACAUCUUGCCUUCGAGGCGCCCAGUUAAUAUUGUGGAUACAUUCUUCUCGUUGAACACAAAGAUUUAAACAGAACACUCAGUCACAGAACACUAUAAUAUCUAAGGAAUUUGAUUGUGUGAUCUUGAUUUUAUCCCUCCUGGAUAGUCCAUGAAGAGGAUGAGCAGUAGAAAGUACAGUUGACGCGUUAUUCGAAAGAGACACCUGCACGAGGCUGGAGACUCGCCAAAUAACUGAUAGCGUGGGCGUCUCGACUUCGAAGACGACGUCGAACGACCAAAGUCGAGAGGGGGUGAAGCUUCCCCGUUCUUCUUGUUCCAUUGGUCAGGAACCGAUUGUGCGAUCCGUGUCUUCCUCCUCUCCGUCUUCUGUUCUUACCGAUCGUCCCUAUCGCUGGAGACAAGCUGCGAAUUGUUGCACCGGUAGAGUCGUCAUCAGUUGCUCUGAUUUGAAGAGGAAGAUUCAUGAUACCAAGAUGAUGGAAACCUACGAUGAGAUUUAAGAUUCACUUGUGAUAGAUAAACUAUUAAUGCACUCAAAGAAAGUAAGAAAUUACAAUUUCUACAAAUUAGAAUUAAUACGAAUUUUAGGGGGUGGUUUUAUGAUGACGAGACGCAAUGUAUAUUCAAUAUUAAUAAGAUUUUUAUUAAUGGAUUGCGGAUAUUUAUGCAUAUUUAUAUUU